GUUUUCCUCUGGCUCAGUGUUGUGUUUGUUUCUAUGGAGGGAUGCUGUCAGGGCCGUAACCAGAAUGUAGACUUUACUGAGGCCCGCAAUUUCUACUGCUGGAGAGCAUAUCAGCUGCACUGACUUCUCAUAUUCUUCAAGCUGCUGGACCCCCUGCAGUUUGCUUACCAGGAGAAGGCGGGUGUGGAAGAUGCCAUUCCCUCUGUGGUGCACAUCUGGUGCUGUGAGGAUCAUGUUUUUUCUAUUUCACCAGAGCUUUCAACAAUAUCCAACCACUCCUAUUGAGAGACAAACUGACUGAGAUGGAGUGGACCCAAACCUCUUCUGAAACAGUGACCAGCAAAUCUGGUGCAGCACAGGGCACGGUGUGCUCUCCUGCCUCUUUCACCUUGUACGCCUCAGACUUCAAAUACAAAUCGCAGUCAUGGAGAAGGUUCAGAUGAGAAAAGAAAUGUCAUGGCCCAUGGUUGAUCACGCCUCUUAGUAUCUUGAGCCUUCAUUUCUUUCAGUUAAUGUUUGUAUUUUGUUUAGUUUCUUGCUAUUUCCUUAGUCUUUCCUCCGUGCCCAUAUGUGUCAAGCUUGUAUGUUUAGUUUUCAGUUUUACUUUCCCUGGUCUCAUUUACCCCGUCUACCUUGAUUGGCUCUGUGCAUUGUUUCUCAGCUGUGAUCACUUCCAGUUCAGUAGUUAUUCUUUGUCAGUGCAUUUCAUGUUUCCAGUUAGUUUUCUGUCUGUUUUCCUGCUCUCUUGUUACCCUUCGGACAGUUUCUUCGUUUGGGGAUCCUCUUUCACAACUCAUGACAAGCAUCCCCGGACCAUCACACUACCACCACCAUGUUUGAUUGUUGGUGUGAUGUUCCUUUAA